rnacentral:piRNA from 1 species
UACAUAAGUGGUGACACCUCAAGCUGUCCU